rnacentral:lncRNA from 1 species
GAUGAGAAUUUGUCUGGGGUUACAGCAUGGGCUGGUAGCAGAGUAAGGGCCACAUAUGUGACUCUUGCCCCUCCUCAGCUCUCCUCUUCUUGCUGCUUAUUGGGAUAAUGACUUAGUUAAUGAGUUGUUCUUGUUCAUUUGAAGGGAGAACCGGGUCCACCAGGCAAAGGAGUGGAAAUGGAGGAUCUAGAGAGGCUUUUUGAAGCAAAUGGUAUCAAGAAUGGGCUGGAUGGCCUCAUGUGGCAGCUCGGUGGCUCCAGGACAAGCCAGACCUCCAGGAGAAAGCAGGCAGCUCUGCAUAUCACUGAGCACAGUGGUCCAUCUGCUGGUGGUUCUGAACCUGAGUACCUGUCCCUAGGGGACCCUCCUGAGUCCUUGGAGAAAACAUCUGAGGAAAGAAGGAAGGAGACAGACUCAAAAGGGGCAAACAGUUCUCUCAGCGGUGGCUUGGCUGUGCCCCCACCAGACCCAGAAGAUGAUCUACAAGGAAGCCAGUCCAUGGGGCUUCAGGAGUCCUUGGAGGACAGGGUGGAAGGACAACCAGAGCAGGACACCAGCCAUGAAAAUGUGAAUUCAGAUGAAGGCUCUGCACUCCUAAGGCAUGUUAGAGCCAGGAGAUCUGCUGAGCACAAGGCACACAAGGUAAGCACCCCAUUUCACUGCAGCAGCUUUGGGCUUGCCUAUGUGCCAUCAGUGUGAUCCAGGAGGAAUUGGUGACCUUUCCUUGUUGUCACAGGUUCAUCCCCCUGGUGCCCCAGGAGCUCGGAAAUCCCUGCCUGGAUCUGCGGUGAGCGAAGACUCCAUACAAUGCAUACAAGGGGAAUGCUGAUUGCCCACUUGUGCAAAGUCACAGUGAAUGUAGAGAGUCAGGUGAAAAGUUAGUGAUAAAUAUGAAUAAAUAAAGGAAGAAAGAGCUGCUGCAGAAGCAUCUUUCUUGGCAGAGCAGAUUGUUCUCCCUGUAUCUGGCAAGGGGCUUGGAAACAGAAGCGGGGAAAAUCAAACUCAAUCAAUCAAUGAGAGAACAUAGUAACUUGGUUCAUGGGGAAGGCAGCAUAAGUGAAGGGUAUUUU